rnacentral:rRNA from 2 species
CCCCUAGUAACUGCGAGUGAAGCGGGAAAAGCUCAAAUUUGAAAUCUGGCAGUCCUUGCGGCUGUCCGAGUUGUAAUUUAGAGAAGUGCUACCCGCGCUGGACCGUAUACAAGUCCUCUGGAAUGGGGCGUCAUAGAGGGUGAGAAUCCCGUCUUUGAUACGGACUACCAGUGCUUUGUGGUGCGCUCUCGAAGAGUCGAGUUGUUUGGGAAUGCAGCUCAAAAUGGGUGGUAAAUUCCAUCUAAAGCUAAAUACAGGCGAGAGACCGAUAGCGAACAAGUACCGUGAGGGAAAGAUGAAAAGAACUUUGGAAAGAGAGUUAAACAGUACGUGAAAUUGCUGAAAGGGAAACGCUUGAAGUCAGUCGCGUUGGCCGGGAAUCAACCUUGCUACUACUGCUUGGUGUACUUCCUGGUUGACGGGUCAGCAUCAGUUUCGAUCGUUGGAUAAAGGCCAGGGGAAUGUGGCACCUUCGGGUGUGUUAUAGCCCUUGGUCGUAUACAGCGGUUGGGACUGAGGAACUCAGCACGCCGCAAGGCCAGGUCAUUCUUGACC